rnacentral:rRNA from 1 species
UUUAAGGUCUAAUCUGCCCUAUGAGGGAAUUAAAUGGCCGCGGUAUUUUGACCGUGCAAAGGUAGCAUAAUAAUUAGUUUUUUAAUUGAAAGCUGGAAUGAACGAUUGGACGAGAAAAUAACUGUCUCAAUUUUAUUUUAUUAGAAUUUUAUUUUUAAGUAAAAAAGCUUAAAUAUUAUUAAAAGACGAGAAGACCCUAUAGAGUUUUAUAUUUAAUUAUUUAUUGGUUUUUAAGUUUUAUUUUAUUAAUAUUUAAUUAAUUAUUUCAUUGGGGUGAUGGAAAAAUAUUAUUAACUUUUUUUAAAAAUUAAACAUUAAUUUAUGGUUUUAUGAUCCAUUAUUUAUGAUUAUAAGAUUAAGUUACCUUAGGGAUAACAGCGUAAUUUUUUUUUAGAGUUCUUAUCGAAAAAAGAGAUUGCGACCUCGAUGUUGGAUUAAAAUUAAUGUUUGGUGUAGAAGCUAGAUAAUUAGGUCUGUUCGACCUUUAAAAUUUUACA